ACGGGAGGCAGCAGUGGGGAAUAUUGGACAAUGGGCGAAAGCCUGAUCCAGCGACGCCGCGUGAGUGAAGAAGUAUUUCGGUAUGUAAAGCUCUAUCAGCAGGGAAGAUAAUGACGGUACCUGACUAAGAAGCACCGGCUAAAUACGUGCCAGCAGCCGCGGUAAUACGUAUGGUGCAAGCGUUAUCCGGAUUUACUGGGUGUAAAGGGAGCGCAGGCGGUACGGCAAGUCUGAUGUGAAAGCCCGGGGCUCAACCCCGGUACUGCAUUGGAAACUGUCGAACUAGAGUGUCGGAGGGGUAAGCGGAAUUCCUAGUGUAGCGGUGAAAUGCGUAGAUAUUAGGAGGAACACCAGUGGCGAAGGCGGCUUACUGGACUGUAACUGACGUUGAGGCUCGAAAGCGUGGGGAGCAAACAGGAUUAGAUACCCUGGUA
rnacentral:rRNA from 1 species